CAGUAGCCGCGGUAAUACGUAGGGUGCGAGCGUUAAUCGGAAUUACUGGGCGCAAAGCGUGCGCAGGCGGUUCGUUAAGACAGAUGUGAAAUCCCCGGGCUUAACCUGGGAACUGCAUUUGUGACUGGCGGGCUAGAGUAUGGCAGAGGUGGGUAGAAUUCCACGUGUAGCAGUGAAAUGCGUAGAGAUGUGGAGGAAUACCGAUGGCGAAGGCAGCCCCCUGGGCCAAUACUGACGCCCAUGCACGAAAGCGUGGGGAGCAAACAGGAUUAGAUACCCCGGUAGUCCCUGUCUCUUAUAC
rnacentral:rRNA from 1 species